rnacentral:tRNA from 1 species
GACCGGGUAGCUCAGUUGGUUAGAGCGUCGGCCCGAUAUGCCAAGGUUGUGGGUUCAAUCCCCAGUCAGGGCA